rnacentral:rRNA from 1 species
GAGUUUGAUCCUGGCUCAGGAUGAACGCUAGCGACAGGCUUAACACAUGCAAGUCGAGGGGCAGCAUGAUUUGUAGCAAUACAGAUUGAUGGCGACCGGCGCACGGGUGAGUAACGCGUAUGCAACUUACCUAUCAGAGGGGGAUAGCCCGGCGAAAGUCGGAUUAAUACCCCAUAAAACAGGGGUCCCGCAUGGGAAUAUUUGUUAAAGAUUCAUCGCUGAUAGAUAGGCAUGCGUUCCAUUAGGCAGUUGGCGGGGUAACGGCCCACCAAACCGACGAUGGAUAGGGGUUCUGAGAGGAAGGUCCCCCACAUUGGUACUGAGACACGGACCAAACUCCUACGGGAGGCAGCAGUGAGGAAUAUUGGUCAAUGGGCGAGAGCCUGAACCAGCCAAGUAGCGUGAAGGAAGAAUGCCCUAUGGGUUGUAAACUUCUUUUAUAAGGGAAUAAAGUGGGGGAUGCGUACCUUUUUGCAUGUACUUUAUGAAUAAGGAUCGGCUAACUCCGUGCCAGCCGCCGCGGUAAUUC